rnacentral:rRNA from 1 species
CGUACACUCCUGCGGGAGGCAGCAGUGAGGAAUAUUGGACAAUGGGUGGAAGCCUGAUCCAGCCAUCCCGCGUGCAGGAAGACGGCCCUAUGGGUUGUAAACUGCUUUUAUCUGGGGAUAAACCUACUUACGUGUAAGUAGCUGAAGGUACCAGAAGAAUAAGCACCGGCUAACUCCGUGCCAGCAGCCGCGGUAAUACGGAGGGUGCAAGCGUUAUCCGGAUUUAUUGGGUUUAAAGGGUCCGUAGGCGGACUGAUAAGUCAGUGGUGAAAUCCGACAGCUUAACUGUCGAACUGCCAUUGAUACUGUUAGUCUUGAGUAAGGUUGAAGUGGCUGGAAUAAGUAGUGUAGCGGUGAAAUGCAUAGAUAUUACUUAGAACACCAAUUGCGAAGGCAGGUCACUAAGUCUUAACUGACGCUGAUGGACGAAAGCGUGGGGAGCGAACAGGAUUAGAAACCCUAGUAGUCCCA